rnacentral:rRNA from 1 species
UACGUAGGGUGCGAGCGUUAAUCGGAAUUACUGGGCGUAAAGUGUGCGCAGGCGGCCGCGCAAGUCGAGUGUGAAAGCCCCGAGCUUAACUUGGGAAUUGCGCUCGAAACUACGUGGCUGGAGUGUGGCAGAGGAAGGUGGAAUUCCACGUGUAGCGGUGAAAUGCGUAGAGAUGUGGAGGAACACCAAUGGCGAAGGCAGCCUUCUGGGCCAACACUGACGCUCAUACACGAAAGCGUGGGGAGCAAACAGG